GCCUCUGUGGUUUAGUGGUAGCACACGCUUCCGGUGUAGGUAAAACGCGGGUUCAACUCCCGCCUGGGAUA